rnacentral:lncRNA from 1 species
GACAGCAAUGAAGAUUUGGGUCUUUAUUGACAAUAUGUACAUAAUACAUCUCACGAAUCAACAUCAAUGAACUAACAAAGGUCAGCAACCUGGACUUUUGAGCAAAAGAAUCCGUAAAUGACUUUGAGCUAAGCAGUAAGCACACAAAUUAUUACAUCCUUCAUCUUUACACCACCAUCCUCUAUGUACAUCCCCCCCCCCCCUCCCAAAAAAAAAAAUUAUACCAAAACCAACCCCUGCAAAACUUCAAGCUGCUUUUUUUUUUAUACCUAUAACUGAAGCAGCCAGAAACAGUAUAUAUAAUAUCCCAGGUUGAACAAUCAGUAUUAUUUGAAGACUCGUAUUUACCGGUCACGAAUUCGCAUUGCACUCCUCAAGCUACACAGGGCCUCUGCAGAUAGGCUACAACACCUCAAUCUUCUUUGCCGAGGAGAUGGUUGUUCCCUGUAAUCAGGUUCGGAGAAGCAUAUGACGAUGACGGUUAAAUUAUCAAAUGUGUUGCGGCGUAACGCUUCCAUGACAAGGUCUCUAGCACAUUGCUCGGGGUCGUCGUGCCGUCGCAACCCUCUGCGAACUAGGCUAACUGCAUGUUGACUUGACAUAACAUCCC